GCGCCGGUAGCUCAGUUGGCGGAGCACAGUGGGACGGUACCCCACGGUCCCGGGUUAAAGUCCUGGCCGACGCU